GCCGGGCAUGGUGGCGUGUGCCUGUAAUCCCAGCUACUCAGGAGGCUGAGGCAGGAGAAUCACUUGAACCCAGGAGGCAGGGGUUGCAGUGAGCUGAGAUCAUGCCACUGCACUCCAGCCUGGGCAACAGAGCGAGACUCCAUCUCAA
rfam:Pan troglodytes isolate Yerkes chimp pedigree #C0471 (Clint) chromosome 17, whole genome shotgun sequence.